rnacentral:rRNA from 1 species
UACGAAGGGGGCGAGCGUUGUUCGGAUUUACUGGGCGUAAAGGGCGCGCAGGCGGCGAUUAUUAGUCAGGCGUGAAAGCCCCGGGCUCAACCUGGGAGGUGCGCUUGAAACGGGAUCGCUAGAGUUCGGGAGAGGAGAGUGGAAUUCCCAGUGUAGAGGUGAAAUUCGUAGAUAUUGGGAAGAACACCGGUGGCGAAGGCGGCUCUCUGGACCGAAACUGACGCUGAGGCGCGAAAGCGUGGGGAGCAAACAGG